GUUUUUUAGUGUUUAUUUUAAAGAUUUAAUCUGCCCAAUGAUUUUUAAAUGGCUGCGGUAAUUUGACCGUACGAAGGUAGCAUAAUAAUUAGUCUUUUAAUUGAAGUCUGGAAUGAAUGAUUGGAUGAGAAAAUUACUUUCUUUAAAAUUUUAUUUGAAUUUGAUUUUUAAGUGAAAAAGCUUAACUUUUUUUUUGGGACGAUAAGACCCUAUAGAGCUUUAAUUUUUUUAUAAUUUAAUUUCUUUUAGUUUAUUUAUAGUUUUUUUAUUUGUAAAAAUUUUGGUUGGGGUGACAAUUAAAUUUUUAUUAUCUUUUAUUAUUUAAUUCAUUUAUAAUUGAUUUUUUUGAUCCAUUAUUAUUGAUUAAAAGAUGAAGUUACCUUAGGGAUAACAGCGUAAUUUAUUCUUAGAGUUCUUAUCGAUGAAUAAGUUUGCGACCUCGAUGUUGGAUUAAGAUUAGGAAAGGGGGAAGAUUUUUUUAUUCUAGGUCUGUUCGACCUUUAAAUUCUUACA
rnacentral:rRNA from 1 species